UGGGGGAUAUUGCACAAUGGGCGAAAGCCUGAUGCAGCGACGCCGCGUGGGGGAUGAAGGCCUUCGGGUUGUAAACUUCUUUUGCUCUGAACAAGGCGCACCAUGGGGUGUGUUGAGUGUAGGGGUUGAUUAGCGCCGGCUAACUACGUGCCAGCAGCCGCGGUAAUACGUAGGGCGCGAGCGUUGUCCGGAAUUAUUGGGCGUAAAGGGCUUGUAGGUGGCUGGUUGCGUCUGUCGUGAAAGCUCAUGGCUUUACUGUGGGUUUGCGGUGGGUACGGGCUGGCUUGAGUGCAGUAGGGGAGGCUGGAAUUCCUGGUGUAGCGGUGGAAUGCGUAGAUAUCAGGAGGAAUACCGGUGGCGAAGGCGGGUCUCUGGGCUGUUACUGACACUGAGGAGCGAAAGCAUGGGGAGCGAACAGG
rnacentral:rRNA from 1 species